CGUUAACGAAAAUGUUUCACUUAUGAGUUCUAAGUAUUUAUUUUUUAAUUUUGCAUAAAUUAUUAACAAAUAAUAAAUAUAUUGCAAAAUUUUUAUUAGUGAAGUGUACAUCUGUGUCUCGCAACUCCUGUGUAAAUUUUCAGUCAAAAUAAUCUGGUAGGAACCAUAUGAAAUAUCAACAUUUUCAGACAGCUAACUUAUAAUGAUCAGAUUUUUGUUCUAUACCAGAGAAAUUUUCCAGAUGAAAUUGAAAUGGAGAAAUAAACAUAGCAAUUAUUAUCUUCAACGAACAUUUUAUGCCUCCUUGAAACAUUUAGACCCAAUCCACACUAUCGAGCCGCUCACAGUUCAAUCUCUCCCUGCUCUCAGUCCAGUCAUUUGUUCACCAAGUCUGAAAUUGGUCUCCAGGUUAUAUGUAGUUGCUGGUGCACUGUAGAAAAUGAUAUUAAAUUUUUAAUCCAAAGAGUUAGUAAUUAUGGCUAUCCUCCUCGAUGAGACUGUUUAGAUAAUGG
rnacentral:lncRNA from 1 species